GAAGAGGAAAUGCAUGUGAGGAACUGGGAGCAAGAGGCAUGCAAGAAGCUGAGAUCGCAUCUAUGUUGACAAUGAUUGCUGAAGGUGGAUGGAUGAUACUGCUCAUAAAUAGUCCUCACCAACACGGGUGCUGGUUUUGAACUCCCUAUUCAACCAAUUCAGAAUCUAAGAAAAAGUGUAGCGUGAGCAGCAGCGGUUCAAGCUUCCCUAUUCUGCCAAGAUGCCAACAGAUUCUAAUGGGGGGACUAUCCCUGAAAUGAGAGGAGAGUUCCGCCUCCGUGUCCAUUUAAUCCUUGGUCUCUCUGAAGCAAAUCCAGAAAUUGCACUCCAUUUCAUAGCAUUGUAUAGAGAAUAAUCGGGGCUGAUGUGGAAUAGCUAGCCAAUCAACAUGCAGUAUAUUGAAAAGGUGCAACUAAAAGCAGCAAGGAAGAGGAGGAGGAAAAAGAGGGGAAGUCAAGAGGGUAGAGAAAGAGAGAAGAGAAGGCAUAGUAGUAGAGGAAGAAAGAGAAGAUGGAAAUAAAUGAAAAGCAAAACAGAGUGCAGAGGAAAAUUAGAGCAUUGACCUAUUGUAACUUUGGUUAUAGCAUCUUGAGAAGUGAUGGGCACUCACUAGGUAAUUGGUACUUUUCUAAGUAGAUAGAAAUGGUGAUUCUUUUAGACCUGGGGUUACCGUAAUCACGAUUAAAAGAAAUUGGGUGUCUAGGAAGACAAUACAAGUCAUUUCUAUCAGACCAUUUUGAAUCUUUGUUCUAUCUGGCUCGCUCUGCAGACAAAGCUGCAUAUUUCUCUAUGUAAGUGAAUCUUCUCUAGGUCAAGUUAUUCAGAAAAAGAAGAGAGACUGAAUAGUGCACAUGUAAGAACUGAGAAUCCCCUGCAUUUUCUUUGAGGCUUUUGUGUACAUGAUGAGCUAGAAUAACCUCCAUGAACUGAAUUAUCCUUCCAUACUAUGGUUCAGUGAAUAUCAUUAUAUUUCAGCACAGCUUGAGUGAUUUUUAAUGCCAAAAACAUCAGCAAGAAAUACAAAUGUUACAAAAAAAUAUUGAAACAA